UCUCCAAAUGCCUCACCUGACCCAGGUUUGGUCGUUGCUCCCCAGGACCUCCCCCUCUUCUUCAAGGAGCUUAUUUGGAAAACUCUAAAGCACAAAGUGGAAAUUUCCACACAUCUCCCAGGCUGAGCCCUGUCAGUGGAGUCCUUUCCUCAGCCCCACAUCCCACCCUGAGCCCUUUGGCGCCCCCCAGUGCAGGCAGCUGCGGUGUUCGGGAGCCAGACUGGCUGGGUCUGAAUGUGGGCUCCUCCAGCUACCUGUCUUCGGGGCCUGGGACAAGUCACUCCAGGUCUCUGUGUCAUAGGAUGGAGGGAGACAAUUGGAGAGGGUUCCCUUUCUGCACCAAGGGUUUCGGGGAAACUUGGGUAAGCUGGCCACCUGAGCUCUCUGCCGAGUUCUCCAGAAUGGUCACGAACCCCGGGCACCUCCAGGCUCCUGCCCCUGGAAGGUGUUACGGCCACAUCUCUGUGGCCCUCGUGGCCUGAAGACACCACACGGGUCCCUUCCAUCCUGUCUGCUUUCUCUGCCCCUAAGUACUUUCACGUGCAUGGCCUUCUGCGACACUUGUAGGACUUGCUGAGAUGGGAACGGGGUCAUUGCCGAUGCGAUGGUUAAGAUGGGUGGGCCCUUAUCCAAUACGGCCUGUGUCCUUAUAAAAAGGGGAGAUGGGGAGACAGGUGCACAGGGAGAGAACACCAUGUGACGGUGACGUCAGCUAUCAGAGCGAUGUGAUUACGAGCCAAAGAAGGCCAAGGAAGCUACAGCAGCGUCGUGGAACAGACUCCCUCACAGCCCUCAGAAAGAGCCGACCUUGGUAACACCUUGAUCUUGAACUUCCAGCACCCAGAACUGAGAGACCGUGCAUUUCUGUUGCUUCCCCACCCCAUCUGUGGUGCUUUUUAUGUCAGCCCUCGCAAACGAAUCCAGGGACUGAUGUUAACCACUUUACGACGACGGAGGAACUGAGGACCCCCCGAGAGCCGUCAAGGUCACGCAGGUACUGAGAACACUGAGCGAGCACUUGAUUCCUCUGACACUGUCACAGGGCGUUUGACAGUUUAUACGAGGCAAUCAGUGAUUUCAUCAGGGGCUGGGAAUAAAAACAUGUUGCGAUUUAUUCUCCCAUUAAGCGUGACCAGUUACAACUGCUUUCUGGGUGGUCUGUUCUGAGCUUGAUCUAGACGGUAUUUGGGGAAAACAAUACUUUCACUUAUCACCUGCGUAAGAUCAUAUAGCAAGCCAAAUGAAUGUCAUGGGACCCAUCGUAAAGACUGCAGCCCUCAGACACGCUAUCAGCAUGCUGGGUAAUUAGAACGAGACUGGCAUGUUAGGCAGCUUAAUUUACGGCCCCUUUGGCAUUUUGGCACAGCCUUGGCCUUCUGAUCCAGGCGUCCUUUUCUGCUUUAUAUCCUUGGGUGUGGAUGAUUCUCAACUUCUUUCCUUGGGAGCAACUCCCCCCGCCCCCCUUCUCCCUGCGACUCCGCUGAGCCGGUUCCCACACCGUGCUGUCAGCCCGCCAGGGGAGUUUUGGAGUGCGUGGAGGUGGGAAGGGCAGUGGCCAUCGGUGUGGAGGUCUGCAACACAUAUUUCCAUCGAUCGUUGUGUGGCCUUGGCCAAGCCAGCUCCCCUUCUGGGCUCUGGUUUUCCCACCAGCCAACUGAGGGGCUUGGACAGGAAGGUUUGCUCUUGCCAAACUGGGAGGAGCUUGGAGAUCUGCAAAGAAGAUAGAGGAGGCCAAGAGCGGGGCUGGCUCACCAGCUAUUUUUGGUGUUCAAAACUCCCAUAAAAGUGGUGGGUUUUUCUCCAUCAUGAGCCUAAGCAGGACAUCCGGAGGUUGGGCAUCCGUCAGCUCAGCUUGGUCCUCUAAUUUUGCCCAUGCUCACCGGACCCUCUUGGGUGAAAAAGGCAGGAAACAUGAAUUAAUUCUAAUUUGUACAAUGUAAUUGGUAAGCAACUCUUCCAAUAGAUGUCUUUUAUUAAAAGACAUCUUUGAUUCUGAAAACGUGGAGAACAAGGGAGCUGGCGGACCCCAGACGGCUGUCCGCUCUAAACGCCUGUGAUCCCAGUCCUACACCGGACUGGUGCCCUCAAGCUCAGCGGUCCAGGUGGCGGAAGCCCAGCAUCUGUGACCCGUCUCUCAUGUUCUCAACAGCUGUGUCCCGUAACUUCCCUCCCUCCCCUGGUCAUGCCACAUCCUCUCUCUUCAGGUUGUAAUUGAGGGUCGUAUGCUCUGGAAGGGUUUCCAGCCCCAGCUGGUUGCCAGUUGCUGAGAUCAUCCUUGGCCGUGUUUGUGUACCUCUCUGCGUUGAGAAUGACUCUCGAAUAUGUCUUCGUGUUGCAUGUGGCACCCCUUCGCUGCAAGACGUGCAACUCCUUGAGUAUCGGGACGGGGCUGUUGACAGCCCGUAACUGGAUCUGGGGCCAUGGAUUCUUCCAGCCUCUGGCCAAGACCUCUGCCUCCGGCACUGUGGCAUCAGCUUCCGUGAGGAAGGGUCUCGGGGGGAGUGAAUCGGUGAUGGCCAGCGCAGCUAGUGAGGGGCCGAGUCGGAAAACAAACCCAGGCCUGGCUGAUUUGGUAAGCAGUGUUCCCUUCUCUGUAAUGAUGUCAUAUGCCACACCGCAGCCCAUCUAGCUCAGGGGGACUGGGGGUGAUGGACUCAGGGGGCAGGACCGGCUUUAGUGGGGCUUAAUAGCAACAUAUAACCUUCGUGGGGCAAGAGAAGUGCUUUCCUGAACUCCUAAGGCAUCCAGAGGAACAGCAGGGUCAAGGCCAGCUUUAGAGGCCGGUGGGGAGGUCUGCUUAAGGUCUGGGCAUGGCUGAUGCGGGUGGUGCACCUGAGGUGAGUCCCAGAGGCUCACUGGUACAGCGUGGAGAAUCAAGAUCACAGGGAGUGCUGUUGUCUAUCCAUUUCCUUCUUUUCCUCUAAUGAUAGAAUUCCCUCCCUUGUUUUGAAGUUGGGCACGUCGCUGCCCCACCUGAGGGCUACUUUCCCCCGACUCUCUGGCGAUGUGACUAAGUUCUAGCCAGUGGUUUGCAAGCAGUAGUGAGGAAGUUUCCUUGAAGAGAAGGAAUGUUCCUUUACCUUCCCCUUUCCUUCUCGCUGCAAUCUGGAAAGCAGACGUGAUGGCUGGUGUUGGAGCAGCAAACUUGGCCUUGAAGUGACCUCGUAAACCUGAGGGGACCACAGCAUGGAAGGUGCCGCUUCACGACACUGUGGAGUAUUAUACUAACUAGAGGACUCUAUCUCUGGAUAUCCUAUCUCUGGAUUUGUGGUGACAAACUUCACUCUCAGGACUAAUAGCAGAAUAGAGAAGGCAGAAAAAAGAAUCAGUGAAUGUAAAAGUUCACCAGUAGAAAUGUUCCAAUCUGAAGAAGAAGGAGAAAGAUUUCUUAAAAAAAGAACAAGCCCUCUAGGAUUUGUAAGACAAUAGCAGACGUCUACUGAUGUCUCAGAAGAAAGGAGAGAAAUGAUGGGGCAGAAAAAAUAUUUGAAGAAAUAGUGACUGAAAAUUUCCCCGAUCUGCUGAAAGUCAUGAAUUUAUAGAUUCAAGAGAUCCAGUGAACCCCAAGAAAAAUAAGCGUAAAGAAAACCACAUCUGGAUGCAUUAUAGUCAGAAUACUGAAAACCAGAGAGAAAGAGAAUAUUUCAAAGCAGCGAGAGAAAAACAACACAUUACGUAGUGGGGAACAGUAAUUUUGACACCCACAGACUUCUUGUGAGAAAACAUGGAGUACCAGAAAAUAGUGGAACGACAUCGUUAAAGUACCAGAAGGAAACAUUGUCAACCUAGAAUUCUAUAUACAGCAAAUAUAUCCCUCCAAAAAGAAAGCAGACACUCUUUUACAAUGCCAGCAGAUCUUCACUGGAAGAAAAGCAAAACAAGUUCUUCAAGCUGGUGGGAAAUUAUACCAGAGGGAAACUUGGACCCCCAGAAAGGAAUAAAGAACACCAGUAAUGGCAGUGUGCUCCUGAAGGGACCAUCUCUCUGCUGAGUUCCCAGGCCUGAGGACAGAAUUGGAUGCUUAUGGCAUGGUCCUGACCAAAUGCAGAACAUCCCAGAAUCAGCACCCGGGAAGACACAGCCGUCACGGAAUCCAACCUGACAAAUGUCUCAGUCUCCCUUAAUAGAAAUCUCUCAUCUAAGAUUAGUUUUUAAACAGAUUUCUUAAGGUAAUUAACGUGCACAUUGUAUUUUUAAAAACUUGGCCAUUAAAAGUCAGCCUUCCUCCUAUCCUGGAACUAUAAAUGAAUAAACACAAAGUUUUGCUAUGUGUUCAGUCUGAACCCCCUCCUGGGGGACAGGUGGCAGGGCGUGGGGUGGGGCUGGACACACCAGCGACAGGAGCAGUUGGGUUUUGCAUUCUUUUCUGCUCAAGCAGAUGUCUGCCUCAUGUUCUUUUUUUAGCUUUGGAAACCAACUUCCUGGAAUCUAUGUCCUCACCAUGGGCAAGCAAUAAUAGUAUUCCAGAAAGCUUGUUUUUAUGGAGGAAAAUCCAGCUAAGCAUAGUGGGCUGGUCCUGCCAGUUUCAUCAAACGCAGAAUUUGCGUGAAGAGGAAAGUCCUUCAUAACUGAGAGUUGAAGGAGUAUGGGUGGGGGAGUGUAGCUAGAAAUAAUCUCUGCUGGUUAAAUUUAGGGAUUUAAAAAACAAGCCACUGGUGAAACGCUAUUUAAUAUUCAAAUGGUUUGGAAUUGUUUCUCUUCAGAGGACAGGAGAGUGGAAAAGUGAAAAGGUCAUGGGCUAUGGAAUCUGAUAGAAUUGGUUUCAUUCCCAUUCUGUCGCUCAUGGCGGUAGCAAGUCACUAAGCACUAAGCCUCAGUUUUCCCAUCUGUGAAAUGAUCCUGGCAUAUAGUAAAUACUUGACAAAUACAGUUUUCCUACCCAUCACUUCCAUCUCCCUGUGCGUUGGUGUUUUCUGGCUGCCGAAUAACAAACCAUUCCCAAACCAAGUGCCCUCAAUGGACGAGGCGUUAUUCGUGCUGAGUGCUCAAGCAGCAUCCAGUCAUGGCUUCUGGUAUUCUCGCCCUUCUUUGAUCCUCUGCCCUUAUGUGUGGCUGGACACAGUGACUUUCUUCUAAUGAGUGGAUGUGGCAAAAGUGAUGGGAUGUCACUUCUGUGAUUAGGUUACAAGGCCGGUGGCUUCCAUCUUGCUCCCAUUUUGGUUCAACCGCCAUGGCUUGCGGGAAGUAAGCCACCACGUGAUAAUUGGGCUCACCCGACAGGGAACUGGAGGCCAUCCUGCCAGCAGCCACAGGAGUGAGCUUGGACUGCAGCAGCCUUCCCCAGGGGCACCUUGUGACGAUUAAAGCCCCAGGCAAUACCUUGAUCACAGCCCUUGAAAGGCCUUGGUGCAGGGGACCCAGCCAAGCCAUGUCCAGAUUCCUGAUCUGCAGAGGCUGUGGGAAAAUAAAUGUCUCAAG